rnacentral:rRNA from 1 species
GUGUCAGCAGCCGCGGUAAUACGGAGGUUGCAAGCGUUAUCCGGAUUUAUUGGGUUUAAAGGGUGCGUAGGCGGGGAAAUAAGUCAGUGGUGAAAUCCUGCAGCUUAACUGUAGAACUGCCAUUGAUACUGUUUUUCUUGAGUCUAGUUGAGGUGGGCGGAAUGUGUAAUGUAGCGGUGAAAUGCUUAGAUAUUACACAGAACACCGAUUGCGUAGGCAGCUCACUAAACUAUAACUGACGCUGAGGCACGAAAGCGUGGGGAGCAAACAGGAUUAGAUACCCCCGUAGUCC